CGAAAACGAACACGGAAGUCACUGCUUUUGUUCCGAGAGCAAAAUGCUGCGAGUCAAGUUUCCAAUGGUGACACUAUAACAACUGCAGUCCCUCCAGCUUCGACAACCACUGACGCAGGUUUAACAACGGGUGAACUUUUUGAAAGUGAAGGUCAAGAAUCUAGUACUUUAGAAACUCCACUGCACGACGAUGACCGAAACGGCGCCGACUUCAUCGUGCUAACCGUCGUCGUAGUUCUAGUGGCUGCUGUCAGUCAUGGAGUUUGGUUCGUGUAUAAAAGACGGAAACCAACUAUGGAAUCCAAAGAUGAUACAGUGAAAUUCUCACAAUCGCAGAAUAAACAAGGAUAUGACAACAUGGUCUUUUCCAUGGAAGAGGAUACGAUAUGAAUGUGACAAAAUAGCCAACAAAAACCAUUAAAAAAAAAAUAAUAAUAAUAAAAAAAAAUAAUUAAAAAACCCAAAAGAAGAGAAAACAAAAUGAAAGAACCCAGUCGAUAUUCAUUUUAAUUAAUAAAGCAAUGAAGAAAAAACUCUCUUAGAUUUAGAAAAAACAAAACUGGCUGUUCACAAUUACUAAGUAAUUUUUAAGUUUCACUGUGCAUUACCCAUUGCAAUACUGUGACAAUAAAUAUACAAAUUACAGAUAUUAAGGUGAUUUAAAAUGGAUUUGGUGAACCCAUCGGGAAAUUUCACCAUUUUGGCAGCCAUUUUGAAUGUUGAGGAAUAUCACGGCCAUCUUAGAUUCUUUAAAUUAUUUGAUUGAAUUAAUUUAAAUGGAUCCAAAAAUUUCAAAACCGGUUUUUAUGCUAAUCUUCCAAAAUAAUUGUGAAGGGGGGGGGGGGGGGGGCUCAAAUGAAAGCUACAGUAGCGUAGAAUAUGAAGAAGUAGCAAGCAUGCCACAGACAUUCGAUGUGUUCUUGUGAAAAAGAAAAUAUGAUAAAAAUUGGGAUAUUUUGGGGGAAAUUGGGGUAUGGUGACUUAAAGGGACAUAUUUUUUACUAUUAGAGCAGUUUUCGAUAACUGAAAACAUACUUUACUUAGAUUUUAUUGUUUAAAUUAUCUAUUUCCGC
rnacentral:misc_RNA from 1 species